AUGUCUGGAAAACACCCAGAGAGAGUUGUCUGGAUUUAGGCGCCUAGAACACUCAGGUGCGGAGGCUCCAGGUGCUGGAAAAUCCUAGCAAGGAAGAGCUGGCGACUUAAGCUCUUGGGCCCCAGGGCCGUCUGUCCAAUGGGCGAGAUGGCGGCUGCCACGUGCGACGUGCACUAGGUCCGUGCAAAGGGAAAGCACUGCCAACUGAGGGAUGGAAGGAAGGAGUGCCUCCAACUGCUGUGACCACGGCCCGGAUUUGCCUCUGCUUCCUCCCAUUCUCACUUCGCAUCUGGAUGCAAGGUGUUUUGUGGACAUGGAAACCCGACGUUUACAAACUACAGACCAUCGUACGCAUCUCACUUCUUUUCUCUUAGCCACAACCUAGAAAUCACUCCACACCCGUUCACGGAGCUCCGCCUCAUGUUUUCAGCUGCCUGGUGUGGAUCGGUCCGCAUGUACUAGGCCUGUCAUUUCUUCUGGACUCUUGACCUGGAGCUCCAGGAGGACAAAGCCACAAAGGUCUAUCAGCACCUGCCAAGUCCCUGCCAAGAUGAGGGGGGCCUAGGACACCUUACAGAUCCCCUGAGACUGGCCGGGUUCUGAGGAAUCAGUCAAGACUCGCAUUGAGGGACUUCCGCUAAGAUGGAGGUAUAGGUGGAUGUGCCGUGCCUUCUCACACAACCAAGUUUAGGGACAACUAAAUAUUAGCAUCAGAAAACACAACCAGAACACGGAAAAUUGAACUUUUCAGAAGUCCGUUAACAACAAAUUCUUCAGCCCGACCGGUAAGGGGCGAAACCGGCGUCUGGUGAGGGGUUGCACAGGAGGACUCGGUCGAACGGACCCAGGCUCGGAAUCCAGAUGCGCGAAUCCAGACGCACGGGUUCCAAACGCAGGAUUGGACAUAGUGAGCGACCGAGCAACCCACCAGGUGAGCGACUGCAGAGGAGACAGUGGGGAGGCAGUGCUGCGUGUUGACUGCAGUCGCCUAUUUGCGUGCCAGCGGACAGGCGAGGGAGUGGGCGGUUGGACCGGCCGUGGCGGUAGAGGGCGCCACCAUUUCCCCGCUCUGACCACGCCUCCACAUACAGCAUCACAACCCAGCGACCUGGGAGUUCAAGGUGCCGCUUCUCACACUUAAAGGGCCAGAACAGACCAAAAAUGUCGCAAAAAGACCUCAAAGCCCCAGAGAUAAAUCUAAGCGACGAAGAAAUAGCAAAACUCUCAGACACACAGUGUAAAACACUGGUCAUCAGGAUCCUCACAGAUCUGGUUGAUUAUAGCCACAAAUUAGACAAACAUAUGAAGGCUAAACUAAUGGAAAUGAAUGGAAUUCCACAGGAAGCCAAUAGCGAUGAAAAGGAAACUGGGACUCAAAUCAAUGGAGUGGACCAGAAGAAAGCAAAUAAUGGCCAAACAGAAAAGAGUCAAGGAGCAAGAAUUCAAAGAAAUGAGGAGAGUCUUAGGAACCUCCAGGACAUCUUUAAACGCUCCAAUAUCCGAAUUAUAGGGGUACCAGAAGGGGGAAAGACACAGCCACCAGUGGAAAUAUUAUUUGAACAAAUAAUAAAAGAAAAUUUCCCCAAUCUGGCAAAGGAAAUAGACUUCCAAGAAAUUCAAGAAGCUCAGAGAUACCAAAAAAGUUGGACUCAAGAAGAAACACACCAAGGCACAUCAUAAUUACAUUAGCCAAAAUUAAAAUGAAGGAGAGAAUCCUAGAAGCAGCAGAGCUAAGGGGACAAUCACCUACAAAGGAGUCCCCAUCAGACUGUCAGCUGAUUUCUCAAAAGAGACCUUACAGGCAAGAAGGGGUUGGAAAGAAAUAUUCCAAGUCAUGAAAUCUAAAGACCUACAACCAAGAUUGCUCUAUCCAGCAAAACUUUCAUUUAGAAUGGAAGGACGGAUAAGGUGCUUCUCAGAUAAGAUCAAAUUCAAGGAGUUCAUCAUCACCAAGCCCUUAUUAUAUGAAAUGUUAAAGGGACUUAUCUAAGAAAAAGAAGUUAAAGAAACAUGAACAGUGAAAGGACAACAAGCUCACAGUUAUUAACAACCACACCUAAAACGAAAGCAAAC